rnacentral:lncRNA from 1 species
CUCAAAUGACCAAGCAGCCAGGUGCCUUCUGUUAUUUAUCUGAUGGGAAUAUGGGAAGAAAUCAAGUUUCUUUACAGCAAUGGCUGACACAGACAGUGUUGAGGCGCGCUGCCUCUGACCUUGAUGUGGAAAGACAACACAGUCAAGUUCUGUCCUGCAUUGGAGUAUGUUGCUUCAAAUUACUGUUCAACUUGGACAUAAGAUGGAAAUCUAGACAAGGUGAAGGACUUACAAAUCACCACAAGCAUUCCUCUGAACUUCCAAAUCCAGUGAAGAGGUGAAGCAAGGGCGAGUGUCUCUCCUCCAUCUGGGCUCUCCACUAUCCCAUUAGUUGGCCUAGGUAAUGAAGGAACCAAAAUGCUGCCCCUGCCCCUUAAGUCCUUUCCUGAGCUCUCAGUGACACCUUCAGAUUCUUUUCAUUUGAAUCAAGUGUAUUUUUAUGAAUAAGAGAAAAGGCUAAAAGACCAUUAGUUCUAAAAUCAUGGUGUGGAGAAGCUGCCAUUUUCUAACUAUUUUUUUA